UUAAAGUAUUGAUUUUAUUCAUAUAAUAAAGUUAUAAAUUAAAAACAUUCCCGAACGCCAAUAAUCACAGUCAGUCAACCCCUGCCACCUGGUGGACAAAACAUGAACUGCACGCAGUAUAUAUAUAUUUUUUUUGUGGCCAGGAACGCAAAUAGAUUCGAGGUGAAUUUCGGCUGGGCUCUAUUGGCAGAAAACUGUAUUCAAACGCAUAUGUAUAAAUAAAACUAGUAUAGUGUAGUGCCGGAGGAAAAGGAGGACGUAGGCAACUUAAUUAUAACUGUUUAUUCCAAUAAAGCAGAACAGAACAAUCAGUCACAGUGCAUGGUACGUACUCUAGUGCAACACUCUAAAGCGUCCCCCUAGCCCCGUGACUCCUAACCAGUUCCCUCCCACUCGAUUCGUAAGAGGGGAACACGAACCUAUAAUGUAGUCACUACCAUGGUCACUACAAUAGCAACGUUACCCAUAUACUGCAACGUUAUGCAGUAUAUUUUUGGUGGCGAGGAAGGCGAUUUCAUACGAGUUGAACUUCGGUCAAGAUCUAUAAACACAACUGUAUCUAUUACUAGAUUUUUGGGCUCAUCUUCAAAUAAAGAUAUAAACUCUAAAUCCAAAUUUGCAUUCAAAUUGCUAAUCCGAGAUUGCUGUUCAGCAAUUUUACAGGCUGAAAUAAAACAGCAACACCACUAUUGGUAUGAUUUUGAGUUUAUUCAUAGAAUAAAGUUACAAAUGAAAAAUAUUCCCACGCACACACAGUUCAGGUCAGGUGACCCUCCAUCCUCCGUUGUCAGGUCGGAGGUCACUUGCUGGUGGGCUUGUAUGGGUCGGACCAGACCUUGACCCAUACAGCGCCACAGGGAAACAACAAAGACAAACGGUAAACGGACUGCAUUUAUACAGCGCCUUUCUAACUAGUGGCCACUCAGUGCUUUACAAAAUAGGCUAACAUUCACCCAUUCACACAGCGAUGGUAGAGUCAACCACGCAGGGCGACAGCCAGCUCCUCAGGAGCAGUCAGGGUGAGGCCUCUCGCCCAGGGACACCUCCACACUCCUGAGCCACAUACCGCCCGAGAGAUGAGAUUAGAACCAACUCACGCAGCAGUGCAGAACGUUGCCGGUUCAAUUUGCACGAUUGACCACUGUGUGCUCUUAGCCCAAAGCCAUUUCAGCCUAGAUAUAUGAUGGAUAGAUCAGUCACACACAACACUAAGGGGGACGGUGCUGAAAUGGGCCUCUAGAUAAGAAGGUCAGGUUAUGCAAAGGACUACAAUGACGAGCAUCAAAUCAGACUACAGAGGCAAAAGUACAAGAAAGCAAGACAUCGGCGAUCACAACUGACUCAAAAACACACCCUCUCAGCACUAUAACAACGCGUGUGAAUGUUGUCACCAAUUACAUUUUUCCAUCCCAGUAUGCUUGGUACAUUGCCAAGGAGGCACCGUUUGACUUCACUGUUAAAGACAUGCCUGUCCUCAGAAAAUGGUGGUGCACAGUACUGCUUGAGAACUUCCAUCUGGAUGGGCACGGCAGAAGGUUCCCACACUUCAUGGAGGAGGCCAAACAAAUGGCGGCUGAACUACUUCCACCAGUCUUCAGACUGAAGCGAAAAAUAGAAUAUAUAUAUAUAUUAGAUAGAUAUAUUACAGAUAUAACAGAGUUGUGGGUCACUUUACUCACCAAUGUCAUGGAGAACUUCGGUUAAAUGGUUCAAGACGAGACCGAGAAAACAUUCCACGUUUAGUUUAGUCUGAUGAAACAACGAAUCAAAGUUUAAUUAAUUCUAAUGAGAAAACAGCAGAGCAAUGGAAAGUGAACCUCAGCUCAGUCUAAAGUAAAGUUAGUGAACCUCAGGUUCGCCAACGUGUAACUUUUUCUCGACGACAGGUUUCGUUUCUCAGGUGUGUGAGCUCCUCCUUAAAGGGGAAGUGUAAUGUUACAUGCAUUCUGUUUAAGGGGUUCUGGAGCCUCCUGUGGGCCACUGAGUAGAAUUCAUACUAUUCUUGUGUAUUUUGAUGUUUGCGUUCUCAUUGGUUGUUUAAAGUCCCAUGUUGUUAGUUUAUUGAUUAGUAAAGAGGUAAACAGCCAUGUCCCUGUAAGGCCAGCUAAGUUCAAGAUCCCUCUUUUCAUUUGGCUCCAUCUGCCCGUUGAAGCCUUGGAGAAGCUUUGUUUGUGAUUUAUUAGUUCAAUAUUUAUAGGAAUUAUUUAUGCUUGAAUUUCAUAAUAUCUAUUUAUUUUAUUUCAUAGUCAUUUUUGCAUUGGUAUAUUUAAAGUUUCACACUAUCAGAAACAACUUGGACACAAGGGAAUGCUACACCUUCAAUAAAUGGACGUACAAGUGCAAGUUGACCCCAGACGUCGUGCUGCCUCGUCAUUGAAGCUACCUAGCGUUACUUCAGUCAAGAUAAGAGUGUAUAGCUAUCUGGUGAUGGGUGCCUCGCUACCCGCUAAGGGGCCGGAAUAGGAAGCCUUCACGACUACAAACAUGCUCCUCCUUAAA